GAGCCAGCCCAGCCCUGCCGACCGCAGCACUCUCGGAAGGGCUCGGCCACCCGGAGCCUCGUCACGAGUCUUACCCAGGGUUCGGAGCGGGCCUGCAAGAAGGGGCAGGCCAGGCUGGGGCUGCAAGGCAGGGUCUUCCCUUGGAGAAGGGACCUGACUCUAUUAUUAAGAGAACGAAAGAGGCACUUGCCCUACAGUGUGUAGAGCAUGGCCUCUCUCCUGGAAUGGCAUCUUAUACAUAUAACCCAUUGGAGCCAAGAGUUUUACCUUUACAUGCAACUACAUUUUCAGAGAUUGAUUUGACUUCCUCUUCAGAUGUUUUUUCUAUUCAAGAGGUAAAACAUAGGGAUAUUUGGACUCUCAGAACAGCGGUCUGGAUUUUCCUCUUUGACCUUUGCUUACAUGGGGUUCCUCAGAAAGCAGAGUCUCAGAUAAAAUAUAUAUGCUAUAUCUUUUGAAGAACGCAGUUCCAGGGAAGCAGGAGAAAAGAAAAGGAGAAUGAGUCAGACAAGCAAGGAAAGCGACCGGAAUUGUGCCCCAAAGAGCUGGCGGCUGCGUGGUAGGACAUGCAUACUGUGUUUAAGCUCCCAUUUCACCUUUCAUUUUCUGAAAGACCUGUGAACUGCCGCAUCUCACAGGGGAAGAACCCACAGAACAUUAACAUCUCCAUUUCCAGGCUGCAGAGGUACCAAGCCAGUGGAUCCUC
ensembl:lncRNA novel transcript